rnacentral:tRNA from 1 species
GGACAUAUAGCUCAGUCUGGUUAGAGCAUCCCGUUCAUAUUGGGAAGGUCGGUGGUUCGAAUCCACCUAUGUCUACCA